rnacentral:rRNA from 1 species
AGGACGAACGCUGGCGGCGUGCUUAACACAUGCAAGUCGAGCGGUAAGGCCUUUCGGGGUACACGAGCGGCGAACGGGUGAGUAACACGUGGGUGAUCUGCCCUGCACUUCGGGAUAAGCCUGGGAAACUGGGUCUAAUACCGGAUAUGACCUCCUAUCGCAUGGUGGGUGGUGGAAAGAUUUAUCGGUGCAGGAUGGGCCCGCGGCCUAUCAGUCUUGUUGGUGGGGUAAUGGCCUACGAAGGCGACGACGGGUAGCCGACCUGAGACGGGUGACGGGCCACACUGGGACUGAGACACGGCCCAGACUCCGUACGGAGGCAGCAGGUGGGAAUAGUGCACAAGUGGGACGAAAGCC